GAUGAAGAACGUAGCGAAAUGCGAUAAGUAAUGUGAAUUGCCGAAUUCAGUGAAUCAUCGAAUCUUUGAACGCACAUUGCGCCCGCCAGUAUUCUGGCGGGCAUGCCUGUUCGAGCGUCAUUUCAACCAUCAAGCCCCAGGCUUGUGUUGGGGACCUGCGGCUGCCGCAGGCCCUGAAAACCAGUGGCGGGCUCGCUGUCACACCGGGCGUAGUAGAUUUUAUCUCGCUCAGGGCGUGCUGCGGGUUCCGGCCGUUAAAAAGCCUUUUUUACCCAAGGUUGACCUCGGAUCAGGUAGGAAGACCCGCUGAACUUAAGCAUAUCAAUAAGCGGAGGA
rnacentral:misc_RNA from 1 species